CCUACGGGGGGCAGCAGUGAGGAAUAUUGGUCAAUGGACGCAAGUCUGAACCAGCCAAGCAGCGUGCAGGAAGACGGCGCUAUGAGUUGUAAACGGCGUUUGUACGAGGGUAAAUGCAGAGACGCGUAAAGGGCUGAAAGGAACGUAUGAAGAAGGAUCGGCUAACUACGUGCCAGCAGCCGAGGUAAUACGGAGGAUUCAAGCGUUAUCCGGAUUUAUUGGGUUUAAAGGGUGCGUAGGCGGUCUGAUAAGUUAGAGGUGAAAUCCCGAGGCUCAACUUCGGAAUUGCCUCUGAUACUGUGCUGCUAGAGUGUAGUGGAGGUAGGCGGAAUGUAUGGUGUAGCGGUGAAAUGCUUAGAGAUCAUACAGAACACCGAUUGCGAAGGCAGCUUACCACACUACUUCUGACGUUGAGGCACGAAAGCGUGGGGAGCAAACAGGAUUAGAUACCCUUGUAGUC
rnacentral:rRNA from 1 species